UUUUAAAGGGGACAAACUGAAAAGGCCAAGCAUUAUAAGUAACUUAAUGCAAAAGCCACAAGUAUCAUUAAAUAUGCUAAGGAAACACUGAUGAUGUUUGCUGUGUGCUUCACAAUUCUUUAAUUAUAAAGAACACUGGAAGCUGGGCUGGCACCUGAAAUCCUAGCUACUCAGGAGGUUGAGAUCUGAGGACCACGGUUCGAAGCAGCCCAGAUAGUAAAGUCCUCGAGAUACUCACCUCCAAUUAACCACUAAAAAGUCAAAUGUGGAGGCGUGGCCUAAGCGGUAGAGUGCUAGCCUUGAGCACAAGAGCUCAGGGACAGAGCCCAGGUUCAGUUCAAGCCCCAGGGCCAGCCCUGCCCUGCCACACAAAAGAAUAUUGGAGAAGGUAACAUCUGUCCUAUCAAAACUUUACUAUAACCAAGGAAUGAGCCAGACACACAUAUAAAGUGAGGAGAGAAAGUUUGUGUUAUCCCUGUAUAAAAGCUACUUCUUCAUCAAUUCAUUCAAAAGAAAGCUACAGAAAUUACAUUAAGACUUGAUCAAAACUAUUAGAAGAAAUAGAGAACUAUCACACAGGGAUAAAGGAGUUAAUUCAUCCAAAAGAUAUAGCAACCGCUGAUACGUAUGAAUGAACCUCAGAGCAAAUGAAGCAAAAACUGUUAGAACUGAAUGAACAAACAGAAGUAUCUAUAAUUAAAUUGGGGCUCAGCUCUGCUUUUAAUAAUCCAUAAAUCAAGCAGGGAAACUAUCAGUAAGGUUAUAAAAGAUAUAAAUAACACUAGCAACUAAUAAAAAUUUUACCCUAAAGAGAAGAAUGUCCUUUCUUUCAAAGUGUACAAAGAAUAAUAGCCAACACAGCCUAAUUCUUAACCAUAAAAAGACCUCAACAAAUUUAAAAGGGCUGAAAUUAUACUAAAGAAGAGUCUCUUACCACAAAGGAAUUAAACUUGAAAUCAGUGACAGGAAGCAGUCUAGAAAUGUAUAAACACAUGUGUCAAGAUGGAAAUAAUAAAAGAAAUUAGAAAAUAUCUUAAUUGUAUGACAAUCAAAAUGCAAUAAAUGAGGACAUAUAACAUAAAUUAAGUUAAGCAGUGCUAACAGGAAAGCAUAUGAGACAUGUCAGGAAAAUACAACAGCAACCACUUGAGGAUUUCCACAAAUGAAAGGUGUCAUGAGACAUGCAGACUUGGCCAACACACAAAGAACUUCCAGUCAGUUACCCCCACAGUUUGUAAAUGUAUACAUACUUAUGUGUACACAUGAGCAAAACAUUUUUAGAGUGGUAUUUUCUCUAUCUAGUUUUUUUUUAAGUGUUAACAAGGAUUUUAUUUCAUAUAAACGGAGUUUUCUUUCAGUAGGGAGAAAUGGAAAAGAGACAUUUCCUGCUCCCCUUGUAGGACAUGGGAAUUAAGACUUCGCUUCGCAGGGCUUUUUUUUUUUUUUUUUUUUUAAAGAAAAAGGUCAUA